rnacentral:rRNA from 1 species
UACGUAGGAUCCGAGCGUUGUCCGGAAUUACUGGGUGUAAAGGGCGUGUAGGUGGGUUCCUAAGUCGGUGGUGAAAUCCCGCAGCUUAACUGCGGAAUUGCCUUCGAUACUGGGGAUCUUGAGUGCGGCAGAGGGAGAUGGAAUUCAUGGUGUAGCGGUGAAAUGUGUAGAUAUCAUGAAGAACACCGGUAGCGAAGGCGGUCUCCUGGUCCGUAACUGACACUGAUGCGCGAAAGCGUGGGGAGCAAACAGGAUUAGAAACCCUAGUAGUCC